rnacentral:rRNA from 1 species
CAGCAGUGGGAAGUAUUGCACAAUGGGGGAAACCCUGAUGCAGCCAUGCCGCGUGUGUGAAGAAGGCCUUCGGGUUGUAAAGCACUUUCAGUAGGGAGGAAGGUAGUGUAGUUAACACCUGCACUAUUUGACGUUACCUACAGAAGAAGCACCGGCUAACUCCGUGCCAGCAGCCGCGGUAAUACGGAGGGUGCGAGCGUUAAUCGGAAUUACUGGGCGUAAAGCGCAUGCAGGCGGCCUGUUAAGUCAGAUGUGAAAGCCCCGGGGCUUAACCUCGGAAUUGCAUUUGAAACUGGCAGGCUAGAGUCUUGUAGAGGGGGUAGAAUUUCAGGUGUAGCGGUGAAAUGCGUAGAGAUCUGAAGGAAUACCAGUGGCGAAGGCGGCCCCCUGGACAAAGACUGACGCUCAGAUGCGAAAGCGUGGGGAGCAAACAGGAUUAGAUACCCCUGGUAG